GGGGUUUCCACGCUCGGUCCCCGGUUCUCUGUCGCCGGCCGCCCAUUGUUGUUUCCGAAGGGGUGGGGGGCGCGGGGCCCGCUGUCCUCAGCGCUUCGUCGGGGACGGCCCCGCUUCCUACGGCGGGCGGAGAGCGGUUUGUUUAAGGACAAACUUUUAAAGGGGACUCCGGAUGGCGGAUCGGCGUCGCCUGCGGUUAGACGCCCGCGGGGCCGCCUGGGGACGAGCGGCUGCCCUGACCCCGCGGGGCCGGGCCCGGAGGAGCACAUCUCCCCUGGGCUCUGCGCGCUUGCCGCCUCGUGCAUUUGCCCUCCUCCCCCCCAGCCCCGGGGUCCGAGGGGGGCCCCGCCCUCCUGUCUGAGGCCUCCUCCUCCAGGGAGCCCUCCCACCCGCUCCCUCCCACCGCAGAGCUGCGCCCCGGCCUGGCCGCUCCCCGCAGCAGCCGCUGGCACUGCAGGCUCUGCGGGGGGCCCCGUUCUUCUGCUCCGGCCCCGCACAGAGGCCUGCCCAAGGUCUCCCCAGAGCAGCCGUCCGUGGGUCGAAGGACUCAGGCGUGAAGAGGCCACCAGGGCCACUGGGACGCCUGCUGCCCUACCUCCUGAAUGUGGAGGGGCCGGCCGUCCCUCGUUCCCUCUGCCUGUCCUGACUGCGGAGCACCCUGAGCAGGGCCCUGCGGGCGCCUUGCUGAGCACUCUGGCCCCAUUGCUGUCCUCCUCUUCGCUCUUCCUGUCCUCUCCGGCUGGGUUGUAAGGCCUGCUUGCAUCCUUUUGGGAAGAAGGUGGGAGUCUCAACAGAUGAGUGAACCUGAGCAGUUCAGGUGGAAACAGCGUGGCUCUGAUCUCCCACCCCCCAAGAGCUGAGGUGUGGGACCCAGUUGUGGCCCAUGGGGAAACUGGUGUGGCCGGCCUGGCCUGGGUGACCACUCACCCCUCGGAGCUCGGCCUGGCCCUCUCUAGCCCGCGUGCCUCCUGUGUAAAGGGGGCUGAUGGUGGGUGGCGGGGACCCCUCCUGCUGUGGUGGAGGCCGUGUCCUGGGUCCCCCUCCCCACCUGGACGCAGAGAGCAGUGAAGGCCAGCCUCUUCCCCGGGGGCGUCCCUGCUGACCAGGUUGUUGACAGGGCAGGGCCGGAACGGGCAGGCGCGGGUUCUGCCAGCUUGGGGCUGCAUGGAGGGGCACAGUGUUGUCCUGAGGGCAGUGCCCUCCUCGUCAUCGCGGAACUUCUCGGGGACGCGCCUUCAGAAAUUCCGUGGCGCUGAGCCUGCGUCACAGGCAGGCCCUUCCUGGAAGACAGCCGCCCGGCACCCCCACUCUGACUCAUGCCUCCUGACUGUUACUGAGAUUCGCCCUCCUGAUAGGUGAAAGUCGGCGCACCCGUCGGUUGGUUUUCUGACAGAAGUGCCCUUCCUGGCCUGGCCACUCCCUCUCCUGCUGGAGGCGUCCAUUCGCCCCCGUGGUUUGGGCUUGCAUGAGCGAACCUUCAGCUUCAGAAUUCCAAAUCAGGCCUUCUGAGUUUGCACCUGGCCAGUAGGCUUGAAAGGCAGGCUUUGUUGAGAGUCAAAGAUUUUCUAGA
rnacentral:lncRNA from 1 species